rnacentral:lncRNA from 10 species
GAUCCAGAAACUACCCCGGCAGGGAGUGGGGGAGCAGCGGAUAUUCCGGGGUAGGAACGGCCAUCGCAACGCUGACAGAGGUUGUUUUUUAAGAAGCAAAACUGUUGGCGGCGACCUGAGCGCUGGAAGCCGAAGGGGAAGAGGAAGGAGACGCGAAGCCAGGGCGGCCGGCACAAAGGCGGCGGACUCGCGGCGGCAGCGCCUGCCCGGCCGGGAGCACAACCCACGGCCCUACUCCAGCGAAGUCCCGCACCGGCUUCUAGGAAUAAAGUUUACGUUCUCCUGAGGCCGCACCCCCCACCUCCCACCCAGGACGGCACAUCUCCGUGUCCUCCUCCCCCAAACUCCACUCGGGACCCCGAGAACCACCCCAGCCUUCCGGCCACCACAACAAAGAGCCGCACCGACCGGCGAGGAUAAACAGCGGCGGAGGGCGAGAGGGCGGCGGGGCGAGCGCCUCCACGCAGCAACUCCGGAGUCCCCCGCUUGCCCGAGCGCAGUUUCUCCGCUGCUGUUUCCACCGGCUUUGUAACACUGGGAAUUUACAUCCUCACCCGCACCCCUCACGCCCGAGGAUUUUAAACUCACCUUUACUCUCGAACUGAGAGUUGCGGUAGAUGGGAUUUUUGCCUUUUCCCCAGAUGGUUGAAGGUUAAGAUUUUUGGAAACCCCACCACCUCCUUAUUUCUAUUAUUAUUUCUGCAAGAAAAGUAUAAAGAGAGUUGUAGUGGAGGUGAGAUUUGUGAUCGGGAAAGCCUUCGACUCCCUCCUUCUCCGUCUUCCGCCUCUCUCUCUCUGAUUAGUUCCUAUCCAGCAGCAGAUUGAAGCAGGAGAUGAUUCUUCUCAAGGUUUGUUCAGCAGCUUCACUUCUAGGCGAAGGCUUCAUGAACCAAGUGACGUCAACCAACAAGGCUUCUCUCUCUCUCCUCUCUCUAACAAUGAAAGUUGCUGUUAACAAGGGAAAAAAAGAGAGAGAAUUGUUUAUACCAUUUCAGUUCCAAUAAUAAAUGACCUAUCAGCUCCUAAAGGAGCCAAGGGAGGGGGUUGCUUCUUCUUUCCAAGAAUACUGUAGCUUUGAGUUUGCACCGUUCCUUGUCCCAGGAAAAAGUUAAGAAACUUAAAAUGUUUUGUUUUGCUUUUAAAGAAGACAGGACAGAAAACGGGAUUUAAAACUUAGUUUUUAAAAAAACAAAAGCUACAGAGUAGGGAGCAUAGGUCAACCAUCUCCACCUAAAUUUUUUUUGUUCCUAAACUCAGAAUUCUACAACCCAACUAAAUUAAUAUGCCAAGAUUUUGCGGAUGUUAAAACUCAAAAAAAGCAGUAUGCAAGACGGUCCCGGGGUAAAAUUCUACUGCCUUUCCACGGACAAGUUAAACUGGCUGUAAUGUUUAUGCACUAAGUUAAAAUAAAAUUUAAAUAAAAGACGUUAAAA